GCCCACUCAGUAGGUGGUCUACCUAGCUGAGGCAGCAUGGAGAACAUGGUCAGGAUGGGACAUCGCCGCAGAACAACACCUACAUGGAUUAAGGAUGCCAUAGUUCAUAACCCAUAACUCUCCUGAUGUUGAGAUUGAGGAUGUUUUUUAUUUCCAAUCGACUCAUUUCCUAAUAAUAAUCCAGCAGAUGAAGUUUGGAGCCAGUCUGCAGUGACUCUUCCUUCUACUUUGACUGCUGCAGGUUUCUUGGUUGUCAUAGCUUCAGUUAUUCUGGGAUUUAUCUGCAGAAGACGUCCACAACGUGCCUGUCUAAAAGCUGAAACAUCCAGAUCGUCUGCACAAGGAGAAACUGCCACUGUAACAACAAGGACAUUGAGCCAGAGACUGCUUCCAGAGACGAUUCAAACCACAACCAGGUGGGUGAAGGUUGCACAGGGGCUGAGGAGGAAGAUUUGAUGGCAACCAGGGAAGCUUCCCCAGGGGGUCAAUGUUUUCCUUUCUGAGGUGGAUUUACAGGACAUCAUGGAGGGUGUUCCACCAGGUUCUGUUGUAAUGCAAAUUUGACUCUGAAUUCUGAUGGCGUCCGUUUGU